AAUAGUAAUUUAGACCUUCAUAAAAUGCAACACAAUUAUUUGUAAACUUAACUACUUACUUAAACACAGUCAAUAUUAAAUUAUUUAAUGAGUAUGCAGUAGGUGUAUAACAGUAUAUUAAAUCAUCACAAUUUGUAUGUUCUAACAGAUCAAAUAUCAUCUGUUUUUCAUGGUAAGUUAUCUAACAAUUUCAUAGUUAUUUUAUGGUAAAUGUAAAGUAUAUGGUCCAAUAAUUGCAUUUGUCUACAGGAUUUCAUAUCUCUGAAUAGACUUCUGAUAUAGAACCUCUGCGUUUCAUGAAGAUACAGUCAUUGUAAUAUCUCCGGAGAUAAUACAAAUAAUUAAAAUUUUUUUUUUAUAUAUUACUCACAGUGAUGAGAACUAUAAAUAUUUAUAUUUAUUAAAUGCUUAUGUUUUGGUAAGAAAAAAAUUAAAAAAUAACUUUUAACUUUAUUAUUUUAAAUUUGAAGAUAACCAUUUUAUAGAGAUUAUUCUUCUAAAAAUGUUGACGUUCCAACUUUUUAUUUUCAUAAAAUUUCUGAUUUGUAUAAUUUUUUACAGAGAAAAAGUGUAUAGUUAAUGGUAGAUAUAAUUAUGUUAUACUAGCUCCACGUUUAUGUAAAUAUUGUCAUGACUUAUCACUUAUCAUAGUAAUUUAUUUUUUUGUUGUAAGCACGUAAUUAAAUCUUAUAAUAUUUGAACACAUUAAAUAUGGAAUUUAGUUUUAUGUAUACCUAUUGGAAUAUAUUAUGUAAGUAGUUACUUGAAAGAAUAUAUUUUAAAAUUAUGGGUGUCUGCAGAAAUAUUGUAUUAACAAAUUUAACUUAAAAAUGUACAGGUCAAAUUAUUUUGCAUCAAUACAUCACUUACAAAUUACAAAUACUGGGAGGGCCUUGUCUGUUCUUUCACAGAUUAGUGAUCAAUAAUGUUUAUAAUUAUUCAUUGUCCUUUUAUAUAAUAAUUCACAUAAAGGAAUAAUUCAAUACUUUUGAUACUUUAAAAUAAACUAUUAAAAAAUGUAAAUUUUAAAUAAUUUGUACAGUUAAUAAAAUCAAUUAGAUUAUUCACGAAAAAAGUUACAUUUUGCAUUCUAUAACUAUUAUUGUAAAAAAAUAAAUUGUAGAACUUCAAAUUCAACAUUAAUUUAGUACCACACCAACAAAUAUUUAUAAUGAAUACAUAAAAAACCUACAGCUUCAACUAGUUUAUUUUCUUUUUUGAGGUUUUGAAAUAAUUAAAUUUAGUACAUAUGUUUUUCCUGUGGCACCUGGGGGUCUAAAAUAAAUAAAUCAUUUUUUUAGGAAUUAAUAUUCUCCAACACUGUAUUAUAAAUAUUAUAUUUUUGAUCAAAUGUAAGUUGAUUUUAAAUUAUUGACACAUUUUCAUUUUCACGUUCUUUUCAUAAUAUACAGAACUAUUUAAAUUUACUACGCUAAUUGGAGUUCAGUGAGGACUUGUUAUUUAAUAAUGUUUGAGAUCUUUUUCGAUCAAAGCUAUCAAUUUGUCUUCUAUUGGAAAUAAUGUUGUAAAUUAAAUCAUUAAAUUUAGUAUCGAGAUCUACCAAUUUUUCUUUGUAAAUAUAUAAUACAUACGUAAUUAUUUUACCAUAAUGUGGCAUAUAUUGUUGAAAUGGAAACACUAUUAACCGAACUCCGCUUAGAAUCGUUCUUCGUUAGUAAUAGUUAAUCGUUGCAUGCAGAUAUACAUUACGUUUCCUCCCCCUUCCCAACCUCCUCUCUUCUACAACAGUGGACCACUACGUGCAAAGUAUGUCUGUCUUUUUUUCUCUGAAUUAUUAAAAAUUAUUGAAAAAAAACGAAUUUAAUGGAAUAAAAAUUUGAAACGUCCAAAUGGUCCGAAGAACAAACCCUAUAAAAUUAAUAUCUUCAAAUUUUUCAAAAAAAAUAAAAUGCAAAAUUUUUUUUUAAAUUUUAUACAAAAAUAUGAAAAUUUAAUUCAAAUAUUUCAUUCUUCUUAUUCUUCAUCCCUGUAAAUGAUCACAAAAAAAAAAAAAAAUUUUAUCAAUAAAUUGUAUCAUUAAGUCAUCAUGGAUUCGUUGAUAAUUAUGUUUAUGUAAACGUAUUAGAUAUUUUAAACCUAUAUUUCAUGGACAUUUUUCUUGUAGGUUGUAAAACUGCAAAAGAAUGUGCCCUUUUUGCAUACCAAUACCUGG